rnacentral:rRNA from 1 species
AAAUUGAAGAGUUUGAUCAUGGCUCAGAUUGAACGCUGGCGGCAGGCCUAACACAUGCAAGUCGAACGGUAGCACAGAGAGCUUGCUCUCGGGUGACGAGUGGCGGACGGGUGAGUAAUGUCUGGGAAACUGCCUGAUGGAGGGGGGAUAACUACUGGAAACGGUAGCUAAUACCGCAUAACGUCGCAAGACCAAAGAGGGGGACCUUCGGGCCUCUUGCCAUCAGAUGUGCCCAGAUGGGAUUAGCUAGUAGGUGGGGUAACGGCUCACCUAGGCGACGAUCCCUAGCUGGUCUGAGAGGAUGACCAGCCACACUGGAACUGAGACACGGUCCAGACUCCUACGGGAGGCAGCAGUGGGGAAUAUUGCACAAUGGGCGAAAGCCUGAUGCAGCCAUGCCGCGUGUAUGAAGAAGGCCUUCGGGUUGUAAAGUACUUUCAGCGGGGAGGAAGGUGUUGUGGUUAAUAACCGCAGCAAUUGACGUUACCCGCAGAAGAAGCACCGGCUAACUCCGUGCCAGCAGCCGCGGUAAUACGGAGGGUGCAAGCGUUAAUCGGAAUUACUGGGCGUAAAGCGCACGCAGGCGGUCUGUCAAGUCGGAUGUGAAAUCCCCGGGCUCAACCACGGGAACUGCAUUCGAAACUGGCAGGCUAGAGUCUUGUAGAGGGGGUAGAAUUCGGGUGUAGCGGUGAAAUGCGUAGAGAUCUGGAGGAAUACCGGUGGCGAAGGCGGCCCCCUGGACAAAGACUGACGCUCAGGUGCGAAAGCGUGGGGAGCAAACAGGAUUAGAUACCCUGGUAGUCCACGCCGUAAACGAUGUCGACUUGGAGGUUGUGCCCUUGAGGCGUGGCUUCCGGAGCUAACGCGUUAAGUCGACCGCCUGGGGAGUACGGCCGCAAGGUUAAAACUCAAAUGAAUUGACGGGGGCCCGCACAAGCGGUGGAGCAUGUGGUUUAAUUCGAUGCAACGCGAAGAACCUUACCUACUCUUGACAUCCAGAGAACUUAGCAGAGAUGCUUUGGUGCCUUCGGGAACUCUGAGACAGGUGCUGCAUGGCUGUCGUCAGCUCGUGUUGUGAAAUGUUGGGUUAAGUCCCGCAACGAGCGCAACCCUUAUCCUUUGUUGCCAGCGGUCCGGCCGGGAACUCAAAGGAGACUGCCAGUGAUAAACUGGAGGAAGGUGGGGAUGACGUCAAGUCAUCAUGGCCCUUACGAGUAGGGCUACACACGUGCUACAAUGGCGCAUACAAAGAGAAGCGACCUCGCGAGAGCAAGCGGACCUCAUAAAGUGCGUCGUAGUCCGGAUUGAGUCUGCAACUCGACUCCAUGAAGUCGGAAUCGCUAGUAAUCGUAGAUCAGAAUGCUACGGUGAAUACGUUCCCGGGCCUUGUACACACCGCCCGUCACACCAUGGGAGUGGGUUGCAAAAGAAGUAGGUAGCUUAACCUUCGGGAGGGCGCUUACCACUUUGUGAUUCAUGACUGGGGUGAAGUCGUAACAAGGUAACCGUAGGGGAACCUGCGGUUGGAUCACCUCCUUACCUUAAAGAA